rnacentral:rRNA from 1 species
AUGUCAGAGCAAACUAAGGACAAAUCAGGGGAUUCAAGUAUAGAAAAAAUGUAUGAAAUAUUCAGUAAAUUGCUUGAGCAGCAGCAGCUUAAAGCAGUCCCAGAGACAGUUAAGUAUGCCCUGGAACCAAAUCCAGUGAGGUUAUCAGGUCCUGGCAACUAUGUCAGUUGGGCACGCCAUGCUCAAUUGAUACUGAGUUCUCAUGGCUAUGAGAACCUACUUGUAGAUGAUGAAGAAAAGCAGAAAAGUGGUGAUACUCACACAAGACAGAUCAAUGAUAGAGUUUUAGUAUGGCUGUUGGGAAGCAUGGAUCCAGUAGUGUGA